rnacentral:rRNA from 1 species
GGUUGAUCCUGCCAGUAGUCAUAUGCUUGUCUCAAAGAUUAAGCCAUGCAUGUCCAAGUAUAAACCUACUAUACGGUGAAACUGCGAAUGGCUCAUUAUAUCAGUUAUAGUUUAUUUGAUAAUGCCUUACUACAUGGAUAACUGUGGUAAUUCUAGAGCUAACACAUGCUAAAGCCCCGACUUCUGGAAGGGGUGUGCUUGUCAGAUCUCCCCAAACCAAUGUGGGCCGCUUGGCCCACGUCCUGGUGAUUCAUGACAAUCCAACGAAUCGCAUGGCCCCGCGCCGGCGAUGG